GACGAACGCUGGCGGCGUGCUUAACACAUGCAAGUCGAACGGAGAACGAGGGAGCUUGCUCCCUCCGGGUCAGGGGCGAACGGGUGAGUAACACGUGUGCAAUCUGCCUCGAACUCUGGGAUAAGCGGGGGAAACGAGCUCUAAUACCGGAUAAGAUCCGGCAGCGCAGCGGCGCCUCGUGGAAAGCACGUCGGUUGGGGAUGGGCUCGCGGCCUAACCGCUUGUUGGUGGGGUAACGGCUCACCAAGGCGACGACGGGUAGCCGGCCUGAGAGGGUGACCGGCCACACUGGGACUGAGACACGGCCCAGACUCCUACGGGAGGCAGCAGUGGGGAAUAUUGCACAAUGGGCGCAAGCCUGAUGCAGCAACGCCGCGUGCGGGACGACGGCCUUCGGGUUGUAAACCUCUUUUGGCAGAGAAGAAGCGAAAGUGACGGUACCUGCUGAAAAAGCACCGGCUAACUACGUG
rnacentral:rRNA from 1 species